rnacentral:tRNA from 1 species
GCCUGGGUGGCUCAGCGGUUGAGCGUCUGACUUCGGCUCAGGUCAUGAUUUGCGGUUAGUGAGUUUCAAGUCCCACAUUGGGCU